AUUGAACGCUGGCGGCAUGCUUUACACAUGCAAGUCGAACGAGUGGCGGACGGGUGAGUAAUGUAUCGGAACCUGCCCAGUAGAGGGGGAUAACUACUCGAAACGGUAGCUAAUACCGCAUACCAUCAGAUCUGCCCAUAUGGGAUUAGCUAGUUGGUGGGGUAAAGGCUCACCAAGGCGACGAUCCCUAGCUGGUUUGAGAGGAAGACCAGCCACACUGGAACUGAGACACGGUCCAGACUCCUACGGGAGGAAGCAGUGGGGAAUAUUGCACAAUGGGCGAAAGCCUGAUGCAGCCAUGCCGCGUGUGUGAAGAAGGCCUUCGGGUUGUAAAGCACUUUCGGCGGGGAGGCGGUACUCGCAGAAGAAGCACCGGCUAACUCCGUGCCAGCAGCCGCGGUAAUUC
rnacentral:rRNA from 1 species